rnacentral:rRNA from 1 species
UACGUAGGGGGCAAGCGUUGUCCGGAUUUAUUGGGCGUAAAGAGCGUGUAGGCGGCCAGACAGGUCCGUUGUGAAAACUCGAGGCUCAACCUCGAGACGUCGACGGAAACCGUCUGGCUAGAGUCCGGAAGAGGAGAGUGGAAAUUCCUGGUGUAGCGGUGAAAUGCGCAGAUAUCAGGAAGAACACCCGUGGCGAAGGCGGCUCUCUGGGACGGUACUGACGCUGAGGAGCGAAAGCGUGGGGAGCGAACAGG